CUGUGCCAGAAGCCGACACUACUCCCCAGCCACUCCGGGAGGUGUGAGUCCACCUCCUGCCCGGUUCGCUGGGAUCAACCGCGGGCGCGUUUCCCGCUCCUGUAGGGGUUGCGUUGGGGUUUUCUCAUUCCAUUUUUUGGGUGCUGGAGGGGCGAUCUUGCAAUGCAGACGAAUAAUAGCAACUAUGGGGAGCUUACCCGCAAUAUCCGAGAAAACCAGCUUGGAGGGGUGAUCUUUGGUUGCAAACACGAUACGAUUGAAGAAUGCUUCAGAAAACAGCUAUUCGGUCUGCCUUCAGUCCAUUAUUCAUAUGUUAGAAAUGUCAAACCUGGCAUGCCUUUAUUUCUAUUCAAUUAUAGUGACAGAAAGCUCCAUGGAAUUUUCGAAGCUGCAAGUCCUGGUGAGAUGUAUAUUGAUUCAUAUGCUUGGAGUAAUGAUGGUUGUUUAAGGUCAGCUUUUCCUGCACAGGUUCGUAUUUGCACAAAGACUCGGUAUCCACCUCUGCUGGAGAGCCAAUUUAAAACAUUGCUUGGUGACAACUAUUACAACCAUCACCACUUCUAUUUUGAGCUUGACCAUGCACAGACAAGAGCUUUAAUUUCUUUGUUCAAAUCACUUGCUCCGUCUAAUUUCAUUCAAGUUCCAGCUGUUUCAAGCAAAAGGAAUCUUGCAGUUCCUGACCCAAAGAAAAUCACAGCAAAUUCUAAGGAAAUCAAUCCAUUUAGUGUUCUAUCAAAUACAGCCGCUCCAGUUAACUGGGCUGAUGAUGUGGAAAAUGCUAGUAACUCGGAUGAGAAGAAAUCUGGUGGUUCAGUUUCUGAUUAUGACAAUUUGGAUGACAAUUUUCUUCAAAAUCAAUUUGGUCCUCAUUCAAAUCCAGAUGAGGUCAGUCAAACUUCCUCAGGCAAAAUUGAUGGCCAAGGACUGGAGCUUAUUGAAUGUAAUCAUCCACUUGUCAAUACUGUGAAUGGUAAAAGAAUCAUAACUGAUGAAUCAAUGCUUUUGAAUUCACACAAUGAGCAUAAUGGUGCUGUGGAAGUUGAUGAAGUGGAGAUUGAAGUUCACAAUAACCCAGGUGGUGGUGUUGGGCUACAGCCAGAAAGACAGACUGUCCUAGAAAAGCUGAAAGGAUUAUCUUUCCUACGACAGCAGGAUGCCAUAACUUCCAAGGAUUGUACUCAUUCUGGUUCAGAUCAACGGGUACCUGAUGAAACACAGAUCAAUCCAAACCUUUCCUGUGGCCCAUUUGAUGCUACAAUGGAAGAUAAAACCUCUUUUGAUGAGUGCAGCCAUGGAAAUGCUGAGGUGCUGCAAAUCAUCACUGAUUUACAGAAGAGGACUGAAGCACUGGAGAAGAAACUGAUUGGGUCAGACAAAGAAAUACUUUCAUUGAGGGAAAUUUUUAAAGACUCAGGAAGAAAAGUCCAGCAACUGGAAUACAUUGUAGAUGAGUUACAGUUCAAACUUGACUCUUCCCUGGCUCACCUUGGAAACAUGUGCAAUACACUAGCCACCCCAUCAAUAUUCCUGAUUGGUGGUUAUAAUGGCGUGACUUGGUUAUCAUCUCUUGAUUCCUUUUCUCCUGAGAAAGACGCGGUCCUAGGUCUCACACCAAUGAGUUCUCCCCGCUCAUAUGCAUCUGCUGCUGUGUUGGAUGGACACAUAUUUGCUUUUGGCGGUGGCGAUGGCAUGUCAUGGUAUAACACAGUGGAAUGCUAUAGCUCAAGAAAUAAUGAGUGGACGGAAUGCCCCUCCAUGAACCAGAAGAAAGGAAGUCUUGCUGGGAUCUGUCUUAAUGAGAAAAUAUACGCUAUUGGUGGAGGAGAUGGAAAUGAAUUUUAUUCAGAAGUUGAGAUCUUUGACCCCUACCUUGGGAAGUGGAUAUGUAGCCCAUCUAUGCUAACCUCUGUAUGUUCUCAGCCUCAGUUGCAUGCAUAUACACAAUUUGCGGUUUGCUCUUGCUGCGUCCGGACUAAAUGGAGUCAUCUAUACAUCUGGUGGCUAUGAUGGAAACAUGUACUUGAAAUCAGCAGAAAGGUAUGAUCCAAGGGAGGGCUUCUGGGUCCGGCUUCCAAGUAUGAGUACUAGGAGAGGAUCCCACACCUUAACUGUCCUUGGAGACACCCUAUAUGCUAUGGGAGGGUAUGAUGGGGACAAAAUGGUUUCUAGCGUUGAGAUCUAUGAUCCUAGUCUUAAUGCUUGGAGGAUAGGUGAUCCCAUGAACACUCCAAGAGGAUAUGCCGCUGCUGUUUAUCUUGAUGAUAGCUUAUUCCUAAUUGGUGGCAUGCAGUCCAGUGUGCAGAUGUUGGAUACUGUGGAAGUUUACAAUGCAAGUUCUGGCUGGUCAGUCCUUGGUUCUAGUUCUAUUGGGAUGAGGUCCUUCGCAUCUGCCGUUGUCUUGUAAUUGGUAGCCAGAAGUUUAGAAUUCAUAUCAUCAAAAUUUGUAACAUAGCUGCCAUUACAAUUUACAUGGAAUGGUUAGCACAAAUCAGGGUAAACAACCCUUCUGAAGCAUUCUGGUUACCAACAGCGAGAUAGGAUAACAUGCUGGUUCGAAAUUUUACUUUUGAAUCUUCAUUCGCGACUAACCCCACAUUGUGUGGAUGAACGAUUUUCUCGGAUAAUUGUCAAACUGAUGUAGAAUCCAAAAGAACUUUUGUAUUCAAUUAUUGCUUCUGUUUUUUCUCCUUAAGUAGGCUUGUAUACAUAGCAGUGCGUAAAACGUUGAGAUGUUGGUUGAGCAGACUGAUAAGCUUUCAGGUUAGUAUAAGAUGCAGCAAAUGUUGCUGUUAACUUUUUUCAGCUGCUCUAUUGUCAACUGGGCCACAGGCUGUUAGAUGAGAUCAUGGAGUCGGCACAUGUUUCUUUGAAUUGCAGCAGAUCUCGUGUGAAGCGGCUCGUGGAUCUGUAAAUAUGUGUGAUUCAUGAUAUUUUGUUAGAUA